CAAUAGCGUAUAUUAAAGUUGUUGCGGUUAAAAAGCUCGUAGUUGGAUUUCUGCCGAGGACGACCGGUCCGCCCACUGGGUGUGUAUCUGGCUUGGCCUUGGCAUCUUCUUGGAGAACGUGCUGCACUUGACUGUGUGGUACGGUAUCCAGGACCUUUACUUUGAGAAAAUUAGAGUGUUCAAAGCAGGCCCACGCCUUGAAUACAUUAGCAUGGAAUAAUAAGAUAGGACCUCGGUUCUAUUUUGUUGGUUUCUAGAACUGAGGUAAUGAUUGAUAGGGAUAGUUGGGGGCAUUCGUAUUUAACUGUCAGAGGUGAAAUUCUUGGAUUUGUUAAAGACGGUCUACUGCGAAAGCAUUUGCCAAGGAUGUUUUCAUUGA
rnacentral:rRNA from 1 species